GCCCUCUUAGCUCAGUGGUAGAGCGCGUCACUCGUACAAUUUGAUCGAAUGAUGAGGUCGGUUGUUCAAUCCAGCCAGGGGGCA